UUUGUGUAACGGUACCGUUCAACAGAGAGGCUUAGAAACUGCCGGUCGUAAAAUGGGAAUGGUUUCCACAGGAUCCUCGUGCCCCUGGGAAUGGGAGAGCAGAAAUUCCUGGCUGGUUUCCAUGACCCCAAGGACUGAACAUUCCUUGCUUGAGGAGCCUUCCCAACCCCUCCAGCAACUACAACUAAGACUGCUUGUGUCAACACAGAUUAUUCAAAAGAUGCUGUUUAAAGUUGCUGUGGGUAGAAGGCAAUGGGAGGGGAGAGGGACGGAGGAAGUGAGGGAGGAAAGAAGAGGAGAGAGAUGGAGACAGCCAACACACAAACAAAUGAGCCUACUUCAAAGAUUAUGUAGGAUCUCCUGGGGGAAUACUUAACAACAGGAGCACUAGCUCUUGCUUUGCUCCAAGAAGCAACUGGUUGAGAAAGUCCCUGAGCAGGGGACUUUUCUUUUUACCCACCAGAAGUAAAUGGUUUUGAAACAAUA